CCUACGGGAGGCAGCAGUGAGGAAUAUUGGUCAAUGGACGAGAGUCUGAACCAGCCAAGUAGCGUGAAGGAUGACUGCCCUAUGGGUUGUAAACUUCUUUUAUAUGGGAAUAAAAUGUUCCACGUGUGGGAUUUUGUAUGUACCAUAUUAAUAAGGAUCGGCUAACUCCGUGCCAGCAGCCGCGGUAAUACGGAGGAUCCGAGCGUUAUCCGGAUUUAUUGGGUUUAAAGGGAGCGUAGGUGGAUUGUUAAGUCAGUUGUGAAAGUUUGCGGCUCAACCGUAAAAUUGCAGUUGAAACUGGCAGUCUUGAGUACAGUAGAGGUGGGCGGAAUUCGUGGUGUAGCGGUGAAAUGCUUAGAUAUCACGAAGAAUUCCGAUUGCGAAGGCAGUUCACUGGACUGCAACUGACACUGAGGCUCGAAAGUGUGGGUAUCAAACAGGAUUAGAUACCCGAGUAGUC
rnacentral:rRNA from 1 species